ensembl:lncRNA
CUCGCAGCCGACAGGGAGGGGAGGAGCAGCCCCGCUCUGGGUGCUCCCUAAGGAGAGGAGUCAGGGCAGCCCCUUCCCCUCUUCACCGGGGGGAGAUGGGCUGGAAAGAGCCCCCCCUGUUCGGGAGAGGGUCCAGGAGAGCCUCUGCCGGGGGAGCCGAGGGGAGGUGGGCUGAGGGCACCUCCGGAGAAGAGGGGCCGAGGUAGCCCAGGGGGCUGAAAGGGCAGGGGCUGACGCCCCCUGCUCACCCCCCCUGCCCUCUCCCCGGGGGUCGCCAGGGCAGAUAAGACAAGGAAAAUUCCCCCUGGGGUGGGGCCGACAGCAUCGCCCACACUGCUGCCAUGGGUGGGUGGACAAUUCCCCCUCCCCACACACCUUUCCCUGCGGAGUGGGGCCGGUUCAGCCCCUCGGGUGCGAUGCGCCGAGCCUGAGCCCUCCCGCAGGAAGCACAUUCCCUUCGGAGGGAGGAUCGGACCCCUCUCGGGUAAAGGGGCUGGGGGGGACCAGCCCUUUGAAGGUCCCCGGGGAGGGGACUGGGAGGAGCCCCCUCGGUGGGAGAAGAACAGGCUCGAGGGAAGGUCUCGGGGGACCCUGGGGGAUAUCGGGGUCCAGAGGGCUCGGACCCCUCUCCGUCGGCGGGGACCGCGGGGAGAACCUGGGCGCCGGGCAGUGCCAGCAGCAUCUCCCGCGCUGGGCGGGGCAGAACGGAGCGUUCCUGCUGCCCCCAGACAGACGGACGGACAGACGGAUACACACACACACACACACACACACACACACACUCAGCAUCAUCCCUGUCCCGCUGCAGAUCUGCCCUCCGCCACCGCCGAGAUGCUGCUCUUGCUGUUGGGGAUCAUCGUGCUCCACGUCACCGUGCUGGUGCUGCUCUUCGUCUCCACCAUCGUUAGUCAAUGGCUGGUGAACGGCGGGCACACNNNNNNNNNNNNNNNNNNNNNNNNNNNNNNNNNNNNNNNNNNNNNNNNNNNNNCCCCCCGGCAUCGGGGCUGUGCCCCCCGGCAUCGGGGCUGUGCCCCCCGGCAUCGGGGCUGCUCCAGCCCCCGGCACCUAUGGAAUCAAGAGGGAUUUGCCCAUGCGGGUUAUUUGAGAUUCUUUCUUGGAUUUCCCCGCGUCCACCCCAUCCCCUUGCCUGCUCUGCUGUGUCCCCCGCUGGAGGAGCAGGGCUGUGCUGUGUCCCGGUGUGGGGACACGGGGCUGGCCCGGCAGUGGGGGAUUGCUCCUCCGCCCUCGCAGUCCCUGAAGCUGCGGUGGGGCUCAGGACGAGGAUUAGACGUGCUGCCCAUGGCUCUGCCCGGCUGCCCUCGGGCUGAAGGGCAGGUCCUGGCAGCACCAGGGCAGGGGACACCCUCAGCUGCACUGGCGGGGACGGCUGGAGCCCUGCUGGGCGGUCUCCUGCUAUCAGCUCAUUUUAUCUCCUGAAUGCGCAGACACGAGGUGCUCUUCUGGGCAGGGUCGCUGGGAGCCUGUUACCCUGCUGGAAGCUGUAGGGCUCUUUUUGGGACAGGUCCCUCUUGCUCUGCUUGUGAGGGGUUUGAAGGAUGCCCACUGGGCCUUGAGGACACUCUGUCUCCAGAGGACACCUGUCCCCCACCUGGAAAUCCGUCCUGCGUUGUGCCGCUGGCACAGGCUGAGGUUUGGGCACAGCCCUGGUCCUGGGGAUGGCUGUGGGGGCUGUGCUGAGUGCUCGGGCCCUUCGUGCAGUGCACCUGCACUCCCGGGGGGCUGAACAGCCACCGCGGGCCCCAGCCGGGGGAAGGCUGAUGUCACACUGGGUGACAUCACCUCUGAACUGUUUGCUGAGGUCAGCAAGGGAGGAGAGAGUGCUGAGACACCGUGACAGGCGGUUUCCAGAGUGACCAGUGGCACCAGGAACACAAAAUCCAUGCCAGACAGUUGGGCAAGCCCGUGCCUCAGUUUCCCUGGAAGACAGAGCUGAUGUCGGUGGUGCUGGGGCCAGCGUUUGUUUUGUUAGCCUGGCUUUUGCUUUCCUGCGGACACAGGUUCUCCCAGUGCAGCCCCCAGUGACAGCAGCUGUGAGUCCCAGCACCGGCACUGGGACACGGUCACUGUGCUGGGAACGCGGGCCUGGGUAGGAGCAGCCCAAGUGGCCCUGGCGAGGGGGGCACGGUGGCACGGGGAGCAUUAAACACUCCAGCAGGGUCCCUCAGCGAAGGGAGGCUGUGAGAGGGUUUUUGGAGAUUCUGCUCAGAAUGCCCGGCCUGUGGGAGCGAGCCACUCGCGGUGCCCACGUGGGGAGGCGAUGCCGCUGCUCUGUCCCCACUUUCCUCGCUGUCCCCGCGUGUGUCCCGGCUCUGCUC